UUUAAUUCUUAGAGAUAUUACUUCUAAACGAAGUUUGCUCAUUUCUUUGCUCAUUAGCAUAUUGAUGUCCCUGGGGAAAAAGAGCUGGUGUAAUGCCUUAUUGUAGAUAUAAUCAUCCUGCUCAGCCUAACUUACUAAUGAUUAUGACACCUAAACACCUGAGUCUGCUUCUCCUGGAAGCACAUUAAGGUAAUCCGUCAUUCUAGCCCAUUAUAUCCGUCAGGACUUUCUCAACCCUGGCCAUCAUUUGCAAAUCUCAGUUCUGUUUUAUUGUAAGGAACUGGAUUUUAUUCCUAGUUGUAAGUGACUCCCAUCCUUACAUUUUAGACAACAUGAAACUUUGGUUCAUAAUAGAUUUAUGGAGACUAUUAAAUGAUUCAGUGGCCUCUCUGCAUUUCUGUCUCCUCCUUUGUCCAACAGAGGCAAGUACUGGUUUUCUGAGUUUUGAGAAGACUGUAGGGUCCUUCAAUGGCAUGUGAAAUUUUGGAACCUAAAUCUUGAUGGCUAUUUCUUUAUGUGUGAGUGAGUCUAAAUGGUAGUGGAGUUGAAUUCUAUUUCCCCCCUCACUUGCUGCCAUCCCAGCUGUGUAGUAUAGAGGAAGAUGGAGUGACAGGAUGAGAAGAUAGCUGUAAGCCUGGCUCACUUCUGCCUCCUGAAGGACCUCAGCACUGAAGUCUGUGAUCAAGCGGUUUUUCUAGAGCUGUCCAACUGUCAUUAUUUCUUGGGCUCAGCUUGCAAGAUUGAUGUGGUAGCUCUCUGGUGAAGGAUGAAGAGUUCUCUUUUUUUCCCCCUUCAAUUUAGGGUUUUAUACAGUUCUCUUAAACUUUGGAUUCUAGGAUAGGACCAUCAUGAGCACUGUACACACUGCAACCACAAGUCAUCAUGGAAACCCACUCUUUCACAGAUGGCACUGGCCUUUUGUAUAGGUGUCCUCCAAGGAAUAACCUGGGCAAGCCCUGACUUUCAUCUGCUUCUGUUUUUAUCUGCCUCUGUGUGAUCUAUUGGAAAACUGCAGCCUAGUUGAUAGGAUGCAUUUGUGUGAGUCCAUUACUUUUCUGUAGUGAAUAUACCCAAAAUGGGACUGGACAUUUAUUAGGUCCCAUGAGAAUGAAGGGAAGAUCUAUUAAUCAUUUUAAAAUCAUAAUUUAGCAAGCAAAACAAAUAUUAUACAAGUACACCCAAAAGGAAAAUGCUUUUGAAUAGCCUAGGAAAAUGCUUGAAAUUGCAUUCAUGAUUACAGCUAAACUCUUUCUCUUCUCUGAAUGAAGGUAAAUCUUGAAUCCAAUGAUGGCUCUCUUACCCACUCUUAUUUAAAGUCUGUACAGCAUAAAGGAAAAUAUUUGAAAACCUACAUGACCUAAGAGAAUUGGCUUCUCUUCCUUCUGGUUGUUGGUACAUCGUCAGAAAUAUUAACCCAGAAAAAGAAGAUACCACAUACAUUCUGUGGCAUUUACCUCCCUUGGCUCAAUUGGAUAACAUCCAGUGUAAAGAUUUAGAUAAAGCAGAGAAGGUUCUAGUGCCAUCUUCAGCUUAAUGGGCUUCUCCAGAACCCUAUAUAUGAACUAUGAUGUUGAUGCUCUGGGAAAACUUCCAAAUCAGGGUGAUUUUAGAUGGCUUUGAAAAAGAGCUUUGGGAUUUGCCAAAAGACACACUAAAUGGAACAAAUGAAUUUGACUUUUGUAAUUUGAUGAAUCCAUGAAUGAAGGAAGCAGGCAUCUUUGACUGGGUUGUAGAGAGUUUAUGGUAUGUAUCAUUAAAAGGUUCUCAGCUUCCAUAUGAAAGAAUGGCCAUAGCUCCUCCAGGGUAGAGGUGCUGGGUGACAUUCUCUAUUAUACUUAGAUCUGUUUCUAGUAGAGUGGUAAGCCACUCUUUAGGGUGAGAUAAGGAAAUUUGUAUCUAAAUAAUUGAAAAAAAAAAUUUUUUUUGUUGAGAGAGAUUUUGCUUCUGACAAAAGUACAUACCACAAAGGAGGUUGGAAACUGAAGCUCCACAAACAAUAGAUAGUUUGUGUUGUGGGAAUAAAGGUCAUGG